UGCUUGUUAAACUUAAUAUAUGUUAACUAAAAUUAAUUUAUCUUUUAAUAUCAUGCUCUAAUGUAAACAUAGCAUCAAUAACAGACUACGUUGCAUGUGUUAAACAUUUUGUUAAUCUUUUUAAAAUUGUGUGCGCUACUGCCACCGGCCCCCUGUCGCCCAUUGUCCCUUUGUUCACAUUCCUUCCUAUUGUUCGCAAGCCAGCAUCCCGGUGCUUCGCCAUUUUUCUUAACAAAAGACUUUGUAUCCAGUCACAGUAAAACAGCUCCCUAUGGGAGAAUAAGAUGUCAUCAUCAUCACUCCUUUGUGGCCCCUGGGGAGCAAAGGGCUGCAACCACACAUCUCCAGCGGACUUGGUUUUGGGCUGCUCCUCUAAUCUGUGCUCAUGAGAGCUCAGCUGUUUUUGCCUCCUCCUCAACCGUUCUCUUCCAUGUUUUUCUUGGCCGGCCCACCCUCCUUUUUCCCUGGGGAUUCCAGUCUAAUGCAUGUUUUGAUGAAUAAGAUGUAAGUUGUGUAAAUAGUAGUGUGGAGACCUCAGAGCAACACUUAAUUUCAUGACCAACAGCGAUAAGAUGGUACUAUUAGUAAGCCAUACUUAAUGAUCAACACUACUCAUAUUAUCAUAUAGAGGACAGAGUAGGCAAAUGGUUGAGGACACUAUUGCUAAACAUAAAGCCAAGCCUCCAGGUGUUGUGUAUAUCAAUCAGCCCACUGGAGAUAUAUCAAUCUUUUAAUAAAUUAUAAGGUCCCCACUGCUUGAUACUUCACCAAAUACUGGCUACACCAGAAAAUGACUAAAUGUUCUUAACACUUAACAACUACCACAAGCAUUACUUCUGGGUCACUCUGAAGGGUCUAAUCGUUCAAUUACUGAAUUGAUAAAGUUGAUGAAAUUGCUCAAAAGUUUUCUGGCACCUUCUUAACUCAGAGACAUAGGAAUGUGGAUGGAUUAUGACAUACCUUGCACAAAUCAACAACCAGGCUUUUAUUGGAUUUGAAUCCCAAAGGAAAGAGAAAGUUUGUUAUCCAAAACAAACAUGGAAAAUAUCAGAAACCAACAAAACACAAGCAGGCAGAGUGUUAUGGACCCAACUUUGGGGAAUCUCCUAAAACCAAGUAUAAAAAUAGAGGUGUGGUUGUGUCUCUAAGCUCCACAAGGGUCCACAAGAAUGAGGACAACAGUAAUUUUCGUAAUAAUUUUAGAUCAGAUUUUUAAAAAAAAAUUUGAUCAGAUGGAUCAGGUUAACAGUUUAAUACAUAUUGCAUUUAAGUGCUUAACGAAAAGAAAAGAUGCUCUUACCAAAAUAGUCUAAGAACAAUGCUGAUUUUAAAUUAAUAAAUUGUUUCCUUUUGUAAUAAUAUAAUAAUUUAAGUUGGCAUUGUAUGUAUGUUUAGUGUAGAUUUAAUGCCCUAAAUGAAAUAUACAAUUGACAUUUUUUUCUUUAAAGAAUUAGUUGCAAAUUUCUUUCAUUAUUUAGUUUCACUGUACAAUCUGAAAAAAGCUUGCAACAUUUGUAUUGACAAUACUUCUGCUGGUGAUAUUUAUUUCUAAUUAAUGAAGUAAAUUAAUAUAUAUUCAGUUUACUAUAAUUAAAUACCUCACUCGAGACAAAAAAACAUUUAUUGAAUAUCGCAGUGAUAUUCCUGUUCUACACAAUGCGUAUAAACCCUCGAACCAUCUGUCUUUUGAAAGAUUGUACAUUUUGUAUAGACAAUGGCAUUCAUUUCAACACUAUUUAACCACAAUUAUAAUCUAGAGAUCCUGAACAUAUUUUCGUUCUGUUAUUUAUGGACAAGGCAGACUGGUCCAGCAUUAAAAUGUAAACCUUAAUUAGAAUACUUAAACGAGCUAUGCAAUUAAAUGUUGUUAGACAAAUAUUUUAUACUUUUUAUUUUUAAUGUUAUGUUUACGUAUCAUAGUACAAGACAGCUUCUGUAUUCUUGUACAGUAAAUUAAGUUUUUACAUUAGUUUAAUUUAAACUGUAGUGCUUAACAUCUGUUACAUUAUAUGAAAAUGUUUUGUAUAUUUGUUUUAAUUUGUUUGUAUAAAAGUCAAAAUGAAAGUUACUACACUAUUAUUUACAUAUUCUUUUUCAAUCAAUACUUUAUAGUAUAGUUAUAAUUUUCUUACAAUUGAAUGGAUGGUAUAAUACAGAUUUUAAUGGAUGAGCAGUUUUUGUGUAUGUAUUGCUGCUUUACUACAUUUUGAUUAAAAUUUCUUUCACAUUUUGAAAUUACCUUUGUAAAUAUUAUGACUGAUAUGAGAAUGGAUCUUUUUGUAUGCUAAAAAUAAAAAUUUGAGCCAAGAUGUAGCCAGGAUAUAAUACAGGCUGAGCCAAGGUAUAGCCGAGAUAUAGCCAUUAUUGGGCCAAGAUGUAGCCAGGAUAUAAUACAGGAUGAGCCAAGGUAUAGCCAAUAUUGGGCCAAGAUAUAGCCAUUAUUGAGCCAAGAUGUAGCCAAUAUUGGGCCAAGAUGUAACCAUGAUAUAGACAAUAUUGGGCCAAGAUAUAGCCAAUAUUGAGCCAAGAUGUAGCCAAUAUUGGGCCAAUAUGUAGCCGGGAUAUAGCCAAUGUUGGGCCAAUAUGUAGCCGGGAUAUAGCCAAUAUUUGGCCAAGAUCUAGCCAAUGUUGGGCCAAUAUGUAGCCGGGAUAUAGCCAAUAUUGUGCCAACAUUGCGCCAACAUCAUGCCGAGUUUCACUACCAAUGUUUCGCCAAGGUUAAGCCAAUGUUGCACCAAGAUGUAGCCAAUAUUGGUAACCAAUGUUUAGCCAAUAUUGGGCCAAUAUA